rnacentral:lncRNA from 1 species
AUUUCUGUCCUCUACUUUUUUCGCAUUUUUAAAGGCUCGUUUCUAAUCGUUGAGAUUACUAAGGAGCGGGACCAGUUCCAACUACCGGCUGCGCCUACUCCCGUGGAAAGGGUGGGAUGGUGAAGGACGAAGAAGACCGGGCCGGGCGGGCCCACAACUCCGAAAAACUUUCGGGAGAUGUGGGACUCGGGUCCUCCGCCUGGCGGGCCGAAGCGUGGCCAGUCGGCCAUCCGGCCUCCCGGGUGAGGAUUAAAGUCGUCCGGGUGGCUUUCCAGGUUGGAUCCCGGUUUCAUACUCGGUUUUUCGAGACUAGGUUCGAACUUCCGACUGG